rnacentral:lncRNA from 1 species
AGCUUCACUGCCUCCUCACAGCACACUCCCUGUUUUUUAUCUAUGUGCUUACUAUCAGUGAAAAAAGACAGGAGGUAAGCCCACACGCUCAUUUAGAAGCACUUGGGCAUUUGGUCUCCAAGAUAACACCAGACCUCAUUAAGCUCACACUCAGAGCAAAUGUUUUCCUUCAGCCCACUUGUCAGUUUUAGGAUGAUGGAAGUGCAUCUUUCACGUUUCUGGGUAAUCCCAGGGAGAUAACGUGCUGGAGCAGGGGUGGCAGGGGAUUUGCAACCGUACGCGACCAAGCCUGCUGCUCUUUGAAGAGUGAGCUGGUUUGCUGCAGUGUUUAAAAACAAGAGACACAUCCCUGCAACCAGCAACAGCCUCUGACACUGUCAGGCUCCCAGAUGGCUUUCGCAUUUCCACAGCCACACACUCGCAAACGCUGUGUUCCUAGUUGUCCUUAACACGACUCCAGCGAAGCUGGAAAGUUUAAUGUGCACUUGGUCCACUUGGCUAAGCAUUUAACAAACUUUCUCUUCAUGAUGGCUGCUCAGAUCCAGAUGACCUUUUUCAGGCAAUGUAUUCACAAAUUUCACUCAACAAUGUCUGCUGCGUUGGAAAUGCAGAUUUUGUCCCAUUAUUUAAAGACAAGCUUCUAAGGGUCUAGUAACUUUCAACAAAUACAAAUGCCAUUUGGCCUUUACUGAUUCAUUGAUUUGAGUAAAAAGUAUCAUUCAGAAAAACAUGAGAGCAUUCUUCUCUUGGGAUUUUCCUUUUCUUUCUCCAGAAGUCUUUUUAAAGACCCUUGAAGUGAAAUGCAGAAUAAUGUCCUUGCAGAAGGCACCAUGGGGUUGAAAUGCUAUAACACAGCUUAUGCAGAAUGGUGUAAGCUGCCCAGAGCGCACAUAUUUCAAAUAAAGUCUGACCUACAGAAUUUCCCCCCACAUUACAUUCGAAAAAUAAGACCUCCUGAAAGUACCUCUGCCUGAGUCACACACACAGUAAGUCCAAAUAUGCUGCUGGCUUUAAAAAAAAUGGCAAGAAUUCUUGAUCCUCAGCCUGUAUUUUCCUUUUUUUUUUUCCUCCUGCGUGCCUAAUUGAGGUCACAAGCACCACAAUAAAUAUUUCUAAAUCAGGAUUCCUUGCCUGUAAAAGAUCUGUAGGCUGUUAUACGCUUCAUUUAAGGAACAUGUAGACGAGCUUGUAAUUUUUCUUCUUAUUCUUCUAUUCAUACCUCAUUUAGGAAACACAUAUCCAAACUAUAUGUAUUUGUUAUUACUUAGUCCCUCUGGUUUAGCAAGAUAGCAGCGCACCUGCCCAGUAUUAGCAUUAUUCAAUAAUCAAUUGUCUCAUGAGCUUAAGCUCCCUGCUAAUCAGUGCAUCAAUAGUCACUUGCAGUGACUAUGCUGUUCUUCUCAGAAAAUCAUUCUGGUUUCAAACUGCAGAACAAAUCAUUUGAAGUCUGGUUAUUCCUAGUUAUUAUUAUGUGUGAUAAUCAAAAACUUUCAUCACCAAAAAAUGUAAUCAAGGGAAAAUGAUGACAUUUUAUGCUUAGUUUCAAUAACUAGUGAAGGUAUUAGAGAAGAGCUUCUCUUAGAAAACUGUGGAGCAACUAGCCACAACAUAUGAAGUAAAUGGGUGAAAAGAAAAAUGUGGAGGUUUUUUUUUUUUCAGAAAUGUGUGGGAACAAGCAAGCAAAGCCAAGUGGAGCAGUCAGCUUAAAUGUUCAAGUUCGAUGUUUCCUUAAACUAGGACUUCAAAACCCAAAACCGAAAGAAUGUGCAGCCUCAGCAAAGGGAAAAAUCUACUAGGAAAGAAGUCUGAACUAAUGACUUCUUAGAAGAGAGCAUUAGGAAGUGGACAAGAUAGUACUAGGAGAAGAAAAAUAGAUGUAAGCUGUUCCUUUAUCACUUUACUGCACUCCUAUAGAAGCGGACUGCUCUGAUCUAAUAUUUUCAUGAAUGGUAUUAGUUCAAAAUUCAUUGGUGCAAACCAGAGUAAGUCUCUGUAAACAUUCAGCAAGCAUCAUUGAAUGUCAGUGGGUGCUCUUUUUUCCAUAUGGAGGAAUUCAAUGGCAAAUGUUUGCUUCAUGCAUACUUCCAUGUCAAAUGCCAUUGUGUCAGACUGCCCCUCUGCUGCAUCUGUCACACAGCAACAAAAUGUAACAGAAUAUUGGUGGGAAGAUUCAGCCUCUACUGCCAUACCACCAACAUCCGCCUCUGACACUGUGAGCCAACAUAAUAAAACAGGAGGCAGUACUUUCAGAGCCUCCCUUGUAUAAUGGAGGAUCCAGACGUUGCUUAGAGAGAAGCAGAUGCCUUUCAGGUAAGAUGAACAAAAGGGACUGAAAUUCACUUGCAUAAAAUACUGGAGAUGAUAACAAGGAUUUUUUGCUGAUGCGGGUUCAUUAGUUAGGAAUGGCAACAGGAAGAACUGACAUAAUGAAGAAUUAAAAAGUUAAACUUCAUCUUAGGUGCCUUCAAGUAAGGUAUUUCCAGUGGUGUAAGGAAAAUAUGGUCUCCUACAGAGAUGCUGAUCUUUCAUCUCUGUAAGAUGCGGAAAGAGCCUUAUAUGGAAAACCUGCAGUAUCUGGUAAGCAGACUUGAGGGCUAAGCAGAAGCAUAUUCAGAAAAGGGUUACUGGGAUGAGCAGGAAAUGAAAGUCCUAUUUCACACACAUGCACACACACACCAAAAAAAAAAAAAAAAAAAAAAAAAGAACUAGAAGAACUUUGCUUGUUUGCUUUACUAAAUUAAGCCUAAGAGUGAUAUGAUUGCUUUCCAUAGGCAAGUAAACAGAAGGGAAAAGAGCUGGGAGAUGAACAAUAUUGGCACAAGAACAAAUGUGUAUAAAUUAUCCAUGAAUAAAUUGAGGAGAAAAAAUCAGAAGAUUUCUGUUCAUCAGAAGAGUGAUGUUCUGCAUCUAUCUUCUGGCAGGAAUAAUUAGAAUAACGAAUCUCAGCCGCUUUAAAUGCUGUGAAUGGGAUUGUAUUGCUGGUAGCCCUGUCCUUCUCUAGUUGGAUGUUCAAACUUCUGCUCACGUAGCAGAGAUGCUCUUGGGGUAUUUUCAAAGCUUUAUUGUAGAUAAGGAACCAGAUAUGAAGGAGUGCAAAGGUGAAAAUUAAACUCAAGUCUGUUUACUUGUGUUGGGUAUUAUUCCCCUGCAAAGAAAAUUACUGACUCACUCAGGUGCAUUUAUUUCUUGUUCCAUUUUGUUCACUGUGAGCAAUCUUUGCUUUAGAUACAGGGGAUAUAGCAAGCUGACAGUCCUGCUCCAUCGCAACCACCCUUUGGUAGGAUGCAGGCAGUAUAAACCAUGUUGCAUGCUCUGCAGUCACAGACCUCAAGCAAAGCUAUUGGCUUUAGACCAUGAACCAUCAAGGUCUUUUGUAAUAAGUCAUUACAUUCUUGUUACCUCCAGACACCGGUGUUUUCUGCAGGAAAGUUAUCUGUGCUGUUGCCCAAUCAUCUGUGUCUGUUGUUCCAGGGCACAGUGGCUCCACUGGAUGCUUUUACCUGGGCACUUCCUGCUGACUCUCCCAGAUGCUGACUGUCUCCACGGCUGUGGCCCUGGGAGCCUCAGGACCACCAUGAAAAAGCUGUCCUGAGAAGGGGGGGUCAGGGGAGGGAGCAUGCAGGAGGCUCCGCAAGAAGUGGACCCAUUUUUGGCAAUAUGGGGAGAGGUACCUCCCUGUGGAGAGAGCUGUGCUGAGGGAUGAGCAUUUCUCCCCAGUAGAAAUCAGCAUGAAAAGUAGAUGCUUAUUUUCUUCACCAGCAAUUUUUUUCUUUUAAUGAAAUGAAACCAAAUUAUUUGUUCUUUAAUAGUCUCUGAACAGGAGAGAAAAAGACAGUUUGAGCCAAAUUAAAGGUUUUAUCAAACAAAUCCCUUGGUAUUUUCUACAAUGAAGGAGCCUUCCAAUUCAUAAAGGAAGUUAGAAACAGGAGGGAAAUCGACUUUUUACAUGGAUAGCUAGGAAUAGAAGGAGGGGGAGCAGUUCUAAACUAAAAAGGGAGAUUUAGAUUAGAUGUUAGGGGCAAAUUUUUCACUCAGAGUGUGGUGAGGCACUGGAACAGGCUGCCCAGAGGCUGCGGAUGCCCCGUCCCUGGAGGUGUUUGGGGCCAGGUUGGAUGGGGUCCUGGGCAGCCUGAGCUGGUGGGUGAUUUAGUGGUUGGCAGCCCUGCUCACAGCAGAGAUGUUGGAACUAGAUGAUCUUUGAAGUCCCUCCCAACUGAAGCCAUUCUAUGAACAGGGAAAAUAAAACACAGCUUUCUCAUGGGCAUUCCAUGUGAAAAAAUCAAGGCAGAAAGAUCAUCUGAAUCUAAUUCUCCCAGUUUGUAGUCUUGGGCACAAAUCUCCUGUGUCCCACCUGAGCACUCUGAGCUCUGGGCACAGGUACAGGAGUAUGUUUCCCGUUUUUGAACAGUUACACUCUGCAGAGCUGUUCAGUACAAAUUAGGAAAAGAAAGGCUUGAGUGAUUUGGUGGCCUGAUGGCUCCAGCUGGGGGAACAGCUGGGCUCUGGUCCUUGCUCCAAUUAGUGCUUCUCCACAUACAAAAAUAAAAUAUUUGUACCAGGAGAUACUGAAAAUAUCUUUUUAUUAGAUCUCUGUAUAGUCCAGUUGCACAGGCACUUUCCUGAAACACAGGGAUUAGGAAGACCACAGUCAGUUUCUGUUUCCCUCUAGGCAGAAAAUGGGCUGUGGUCUCCUCUUCCCUUGCUGAGUCUGCUGACAUCCACACUGCCAGAGGAAAGCCACCCUUGCCCUGGCAGUUUGGUAAAUCUGCCCUAGGACCUGGCUGUAAAAUUGAAGCAUUUCUUCCUGAAGCACCAAAUUUUCUAUCCUGAGGCAAAAUUCAGCUCUGACACCAGCACGUCGCUUUGCUCUCCCCCAGCCCAGAGCUCCCUGUUGCUGACGGGGUGCAGCAGCCACCCCGGGAUGGGUGUCACAAUCCCACCAUAGGACAAGCAGAAUACCUUCCAGAUAUGUAGUGCAAGAUACUUGGAACAGCUACAAAAACGUGGAAAUGCAAGACGGUGUGCAUAUUAGAUUGGAAUACUGAUUAGAUCCUGAAAUAAAGGGCUAGAGAAGCCAAAGUAGUCGGGAAGCCAGCAUUUUGUGUCAUUUAUUAUUCUUUGGCUAGCUUGAAUUGGAAGAGGAACUGACUGAAUGCUUAAGUGACAUGUUGUCACAUACCAGUGCUGUUUGUGUCAGAGGUUUUGGCAGGGGACCUACACAGAGCAGGGAGCAGGCAUGCCUGGUGUGGCGUGUGGGAGCCGGGCAGCAGAGGCACUGGGAGUUUGGGGACAGAGGAUGGUGGUGACAACACACAUAUGGAGGCACCUUGAGCCACCUGCCAGGAAGGACCA